rnacentral:rRNA from 1 species
UACGUAGGGGGCGAGCGUUAUCCGGAAUUAUUGGGCGUAAAGCGCUCGCAGGUGGUUCGAUGCGUCGUGCGUGAAAGACCCCGGCUCAACUGGGGGGUGUCGUGCGAUACGGUCGGACUGGAGGCCAGUAGGGGGAUGCGGAAUUCCGGGUGUAGUGGUGGAAUGCGUAGAGAUCCGGAGGAACACCAGCGGCGAAGGCGGCAUCCUGGACUGGUCCUGACACUCAUGAGCGAAAGCGUGGGGAGCGAUCCGG